rnacentral:lncRNA from 1 species
CUGGGUUCUGUUGUUGGCAACCAACAGAGUUGUUGUCUUUUCUCGCAUUCAUUAAAAUGCACAAGAAGAAAUUUCUAAUGGUGAGGGAGUACUUGCUUCAAAUUCAUACUUCAGUGAAAUAAACAACACCAUACAUAGGAAUGUGAAAGCAAAGUCAUCAUACACUGUUUGCUUCAUUGUAUGAGAAUCAAUGUUUGCAUGAUAAACUGCCCUAAUGGAAGAGGACUCUGAGUUACCUUUUUCGAGCAAAGCCACCUAGGUUACUCUGUUUUCCCCAGAGUGACCCUUCUGUUCUGCAAAUUUUCAGAUUGAAGGGAGUAGCAGUAGAGUAUCAGAAGUAUCAGAAGCAAAAAAGUAAAUGUAUGAUUUGCAAAGCAUAACAAAAUGAAAAAUAAGCUUCUGCAGUCAUGGAAGUUCAGAAUUGGAUAACAACUUAGAUUAUUUAUUCCAACCUCAUCGAAAAAGAGAUAAAGACAUGGAAUUCAGGAAAAGUGAAAUCUACUUAAAUGUACCAAUCACAGCAGAGUCUUUUGGAACUUAAACAUCUUGACUCUUCUGUUUAAAGCCUAAAUCAACCUGAGAGAAGAGAUGAAACAACUGAGGGCCAAAAAGUUUACAAAAUUUUCCAAGAUCAUACAGCUAAUUAACAACAUCUGGGCUCUUCUUGACUUUUGGAAUCCAAGAAAAUCCCCAGACUGGAUGGCUUCACUGCUUUAUUCUACCACAUUUACAAGAAUAACAA